rnacentral:misc_RNA from 1 species
CCGUGAGAAAAACAUUUCUGGAAGGAAGGAGACCCGAGCACUGAGGACCGACACCAGGAAAUGGAGAUCUGACGUGGAGCAGAUCAAAAGGUAGGGAGAGUGGGGACGGACGGUUGCAACAAGACUCCUCCAUUCAGGAAUGAGCUAGAGUGAUGAUAUUACUACAUAUUCUUAUAUAGACCCUCCUUCAAUCUCAGAGAAAUCAUCCAUAUGCGACCAUUCCUUCAGUAUAAAGCCUGUUUUAAGAUGGCAGUGUUGCUUCACUGAGGAAAUAUUUAUUCUGCAGUGUGCUGGGACUCCUGGGAGGACCAAGAAGAUGGUUAAGAAUUGCAGCACUUGCAGCAACAGCAACAGCGGGCGGCAAUGACAGUGACUACUCUGUCCCAUGGAUCAAGAGAGUGAGCCCAUAGAGGAAGGAAAUCCCAAGACCGGAGAGCAGAAGGAAGCCAUUGAGGUUUGUGCUUCUGCAGAAUGUUGACAAUGAUGGCGAAGAUCAGAAUAACCGCUAUGGGGACAAGAACUCCCAUGAGUACCUGCCAGCCGGCCAUAGAGAGACCAAAGACCAGUAGAGGCAAACCGAAGAAGCAAAGGAUGAUGUAAAAGGCUGCAAACCAACGGUACUGGGCUGUUGUUUCACCAAGACCCUUUGCCAGUCGGAUGGGGAUACGUGUGAUGGGGAUUGGGUACCACAACAAUAUCCCGGAUAAGUUGAAGAAGAGGUGAACCAAUGCAAUCUAUAGCAACCUGUCCCUUGAGCAUCGAAUUCAGCAGCUUCACAAUACAAAUGAGGCAAGUGCACAGAAUGAGCAGAGAACCCGCCAGCAGAAUCAGACCCACCGCCAGGUCCGAAAGGCUCGUGUUCACGAAGAUGUGACUGCCUGUGUGAAUAGAGAACAACAUAAAAGAUCCUGGCCUGAGCAGAAGCACUGGUGCUGAUGGAGACCACGUUCAGAUCCAGACUCAGCUGUGCUGUUCUUCAGAGUGGCUCAGUUCGGCCUCUGUUGGGUCACAGGCAUUUAUAGCCCUCCGCAGAUCAUCCAGGAUUCCCCUGUUCCAAGGUUUACCACGGGACUGAUAACUCUCUGCGACAGGAAGUUUGUCUGUGUGUGUGUGUGUGUGUGUGUCUGCGUGUGUGCAUGUGUGUGUGUGUGCUGUGCAUGGUUCAAAGUGUCCGCUGUGGCAUCAGAUAAAGUGGAUUUUAAAAGGUAAAAAAUAUAUAUAAAAGUCCUUAUUAGUAGUUAUGAUGGUAAUACACAGUACGGCCUUUAUUACUGUAAGUUACAUAUAUACUGUAUUUCUGUUUUAGAUCAAAUACUGUUUAAUGUGGCUUUAUUAAAAUGUGUGUGUAUGU